ensembl:lncRNA
GCCAUUUGCCUCACUUACUCCUGGGGUCUGGGUGAGCAUCUGGCCCCGACCUGGUAAAGGGUCGGUUUCGCCCAGCAGUAAGCCCUACAUGUGGACAGAGGACGAACACCGGACGAGCGAACGGAGACUACAUGCAACAAGUGGUGACCCCGACGUGAUCUGUCUGCUGAGGGUGGCUGCCCGGCGUGCCCGUGACGCGGAGAAGAGCCUGUGAGGUGGCGGCAGGUCGCGCACGGAAGACGUAUUGCGGUUAAGAGCCUGCGAGGUGGCGGCAGGUCGCAUACGUAACAAUGGACCAAGUCAUUAAGGUGGGACUUGCUCACCUCGGCGCUAUGCCAGCGCGCCAUGGCCAGUCAGAAGGCUACGGAACUUAAAACGUGGGGACUGAUAUUAGGAGCCCUUAAAGCGGCCAGAGUUGAGGGAAAGGUAUUGGUGGAGGCUCGAUACCUUUUGGGUCUCAGCGGAGGAGGUGAGACACAGGACCCGGUCGGGUCCGAUGGGGGUUCGGGAGCAGUUUCUUGCAGGGGCCGAGAGGAGACGGAGCCGCCAAUGACCGUUGGCGGGAUGGCGCCGGCUGAGCCGACCGCGCUCAGUUCAAAAGAAGACAAACAACAAGAGAGUGAAAGUUCGUUGUCUCGUCCCCCUCUCCCGUAUCCACACCCCUCAGGCGGAACGUUGUAUCCUUUAUCAGAAUUACGUCAGUGUUACCUGACUCAAGAGGGCGGAGGAAGCUGUGAUCUACACGGGCAGGAUCAACUUAGUGCCCACAUGGGGAGGGACCAGACAAAAGGUCCGUCCAAUGCGGACAGGGGGCAUAGCCUACUGUCUCUGGUCACUCCCAGGGGCGGUAGUGCGAGUGAUAGUGUAGAGGAGAAAGAAGGGACUGGCUUUGAGUGCAGGGGGAGGGAUCAAAUGACGGACUGGAAUGGGAUUAGAUCGGAGGCUUUGGGAAAGGGUAUAGUUCCAGAGGCAUUCCGGGUGAUUGUGAGUGAUCGUGGUCCCGAAUGGGUGCCGCCUGACCCCGGGGGUGUUACGCGCCUGGUGGAAUUUAUGGAUAAAAGAGGCCUGAAAUCGCCUCUGACAUUAAAUGCACUACAAACUUUGGCUGCACUGGGGCCUCUCUUCCCCCGUGACAUCACAAACUUAAUGCGUACGGUGCUCAGGCUGGUUCAGUAUACGUUAUGGGAGACGGACUGGGUGGCCGAGUUGGGGGGCCGUGCCGGGGCGACAGGGGUCGGCUCGCGCCGCUCCCUGCAUGGGACCGGAAUCCAGCGGCUUUCAGGGAAGGCCGUGGGAGUGGCUUCGCCCCAGGGCCAGCUAGCGAGACUAAGGCCAGGGGAGCUAAUAGCAGCCACAAAUGCAACGGUGGAAGCGUUUAAUAAACUUGUGCAUAAGGCCGAACCACCUACUCCGUGCACAGAUAUUACCCAGGGCCCGAAUGAAUCCUUUCAAAGCUUUACAGACAGGCUUUUAGCUGCUGCAGAGGGGUCUGAUCUCCUGGAACCGGCCCAAGGGCCAGUGAUCAUUGACUGCUUGCAGCAGAAAUCGCAUGACAAUGUUAAGGCAUUGCUGCGAGCCGGCCGAAGUACGCUUAAUACCUCGGGAGCCGGCCGAAGUACGCUUAAUACCUCGGGAGAAGUUAUUCAGUAUGUCUUAGAUAAGCUCAAGGUGGCUCAUUUAACUAAUGAAAGGCUAGUCACAGCUAUUGUCGUAGCUGCUGGCCUGCGACAGCAAAGAUCGCUGCAGCAGCAAGGGCUGUGUUUCCGAUACGGCCAGUAUGGCCAUGUUAGAGCACAAUGCCCCUGUGGGGGAGGCCAGUCAGGGCCUCCUGAUCACAGGAAGGGCUUGCUGAAGGGUAUCCGUGGUCGGGUAUGCAGCAGUUAAACAUCAUGAAUCUGGGAAAUUCUGUGGGUACCAUCGCGAAAAGUAAUACCAGAUAUAAGUAGCAUAUCUGCAAAAACUGAGUCUAGGUGCGAGUUUUCUACAGAAAUUCUUCGUUGGCAGACCGAAGCCAACUCCAGAACAACUGAGGGACAGACGAUGGGAUCAAGAACCACUCGUCAAGAGGAGCACUACACCUGCAACGCUGACACUUCCGAUGUUGCUGAUAUUUAUGGUGUCCAUGGCGAUUACAGAGUGUCACAAACAACUACAAUGGACACAAGAACAUAUGCAGAAAAUUAAAGAAGAGCGUGAUCCCUUUGGAAGCUGGCUGGACGGACUGUUUGGGGGAACGGGUUCAUGGUUAAAGCAAUUGCUUAAAGCUCUCGCAGUAGGAUUUGCAAUCUUUGUGUGUAUUCUAAUCUGUCUUCCAUGCUUUGUAGGAUGCUUGCAGAACUGCCUUCAACGAAUGAUGGACAAGACUUUUGACUAUCACAUUGAGUAUCAUAGAUUGCGUGAAAAAUUAUAGAGGGGUUUAGGUUGUUGCGUUCGUGCUGUAACGGGGCAAGGCUUGGCCGAGCACGGGAAAGAAUUCCCUGUUGCUCUGAUGAUUGCUUAAGAACUGUAGUAGAAAAUAGUAGGAAUAGUGUGCUGAAAUAUAUUUAGGAUUAGGCGUUUUGCGCUGCUUCGCGAUGUACGGGUUAGGUGUGUGUGUAAGUAGUAUCUAGCUUAGGGAGGGGGAGAUGUUGUAGUAGGCGUCUUGCGGGGGCACGGGAUGUACGGGACAGGCCUCUCCCUAAACAUAGAGAGAUAGUGCUAUCGUGCUGACCUUGUUGCAGAGAAAACAGGAGAAGAAGAAGGAUGAUAAAAGAAUGUGGAAAUGGCCAAAUAAGGCACAAUGUUAUCUGGUGUGAACUAAUCAGAGUGGGACAUGACAGCACGGUUAUCUAGGUAAAAAUGUAUAUAAGCUGUGUUUAGUAGUGAAUAAACGCCAUUUGCCUCA